rnacentral:tRNA from 1 species
GGCACUUUGGUAGAGUGGUUAAUACGUAGGACUGCUAAUCCUAUCCCUUCGGGGGCCCGAGUUCGAAUCUCGGAGGUGUCG